rnacentral:rRNA from 1 species
AUACGGAGGGUCCAAGCGUUAUCCGGAUUCAUUGGGUUUAAAGGGUCCGCAGGCGGGAAAAUAAGUCAGUGGUGAAAGCCUACAACUCAACUGUAGAACUGCCAUUGAUACUGUUUUUCUUGAGUAUAGAUGAAGUGGGCGGAAUAUAUCAUGUAGCGGUGAAAUGCAUAGAUAUGAUAUAGAACACCGAUUGCGAAGGCAGCUCACUAAACUAUUACUGACGCUCAGGGACGAAAGCGUGGGGAGCGAACAGGAUUAGAAACCCCAGUAGUCC